CAAAUGGGAAGAACUCACAUCAUUUGAUCUGAAACUUAUCUGUGAUGACAUUGAUGAUAUCCCUGAGUCUGUAAAUGUUACGAUAGGGCCAUUAACAUGCAAUAUCCAGGUGAGAAUAACUUCAUCUCCGAACUGACACCGCCGGGUACAUCCACAUCCGACGAGAGUUCCGGCAGCAACGAUGAAGAGUGGAACUUCUGGUUCGGUUCGGGUGACAGACCCCCCUCGUC
rnacentral:lncRNA from 1 species